AACGAACGCUGGCGGCGUGGUUUAGGCAUGCAAGUCGAGCGAGAAAGUCCUUCGGGACGAGUACAGCGGCGAAAGGGUGAGUAAUAUAUAGGUAACCUACCUCUUGGACUCGGAUAAUUCCUGGAAACGGGUUGUAAUACGAGAUCGUCCUAUUGGGUCGCAUGGCCCGACUGGUAAAUGGUAGCUCUGCUUCUGCCGAGAGAGGGGCCUAUAUCCUAUUAGCUAGUUGGUGAGGUAAUGGCUCACCAAGGCUUUGAUGGGUAGCCGGACUGAGAGGUUGGCCGGUCACACUGGGACUGAGACACUGCCCAGACUCCUACGGGAGGCUGCAGUCGAGAAUCUUCCGCAAUGGGCGAAAGCCUGACGGGGGCGACGCCGCGUGAACGAAGAAGGCC
rnacentral:rRNA from 1 species